rnacentral:rRNA from 1 species
CCUACGGGGGGCAGCAGUGGGGAAUAUUGCACAAUGGGGGAAACCCUGAUGCAGCGACGCCGCGUGAGUGAAGAAGUAUCUCGGUACGUAAAGCUCUAUCAGCAGGAAAGAAAAUGACGGUACCUGACUAAGAAGCCCCGGCUAACUACGUGCCAGCAGCCGCGGUAAUACGUAGGGGGCAAGCGUUAUCCGGAUUUACUGGGUGUAAAGGGAGCGUAGACGGGGCUGCAAGUCCGGAGUGCAAGCCCAUGGCUUAACCAUGGUACUGCUCUGGAAACUGUAGAGCUUGCGGGCGGGAGGGGCAGGCGGAAUUCCUAGUGUAGCGGUGAAAUGCGUAGAGAUUAGGAGGAACACCGGCGGCGAAGGCGGCCUGCUGGACCGUAACUGACGUUGAGGCUCGAAAGCGUGGGGAGCAAACAGGAUUAGAUACCCCGGUAGUC